AGUGAACGCUGGCGGUAGACCUAACCCAUGCAAGUCGAACGGCAGCACAGUAAGAGCUUGCUCUUACGGGUGGCGAGUGGCGGACGGGUGAGGAAUACAUCGGAAUCUACUUUUUCGUGGGGGAUAACGUAGGGAAACUUACGCUAAUACCGCAUACGACCUACGGGUGAAAGCAGGGGAUCUUCGGACCUUGCGCGAUUGAAUGAGCCGAUGUCGGAUUAGCUAGUUGGCGGGGUAAAGGCCCACCAAGGCGACGAUCCGUAGCUGGUCUGAGAGGAUGAGCAGCCACACUGGAACUGAGACACGGUCCAGACUCCUACGGGAGGCAGCAGUGGGGAAUAUUGGACAAUGGGCGCAAGCCUGAUCCAGUCAUACCGCGUGGGUGAAGAAGGCCUUCGGGUUGUAAAGCCCUUUUGUUGGGAAAGAAAAGCAGCAGGUUAAUACCCCGCUGUUCUGACGGUACCCAAAGAAUAAGCACCGGCUAACUUCGUG
rnacentral:rRNA from 1 species